AAAAAGGUGGGCAGAAAGAGAUGGAAGAAUCGAGGGAAAAAAAAUAGGGAAAGGAAGAAGAGGAAAUUGAAGGAAAGAGCAUGAUUUCAAGCCAAUCUUUGUGAGUGGUGAUUGAUAUUUACAUUAAGGUGAUCCUAAUUGAGGAUCUAUCACUACCUGCUACCCCAAGCUGUUGAAUCUAUUAAUUUUUUUUUU